UAGGACAAUCUAGUUUUGAGGUCACCAUCAUCGGUAAAUGAUGAUUCUUUGUACUUAUGGGUUGAAUCCGAUCUUACAUUUUUAAAUUUCUUGAUGAUAUGGUACAAGUGUCAGAGAUGUCCCGUAGAUAAAUCUUUAGCUCUUUCUUUUUGUAUAGUACAACUGUUUACAGAUCAUAGAGUUUUUGGGGUAGUAGGAAUUUUGUGAUGAGACCUGUUUAGCCAAGCUUAAGAAAUCUGCUUAUAUUGAAAAGUGAUUUUUGGCAAUAGUACAACAACAUACCCAUCGAAAUCUCACAAGUGAGGUUUGUUUUUUAGCAAACGUGCUUCUUGAAAAAUUACUUUUGGAGAGUAGCAGUUUGUGUUCGCUAAUCAAUAUGAAAAGUACUUUUGCCAAUAUUAAAGCAGCAAUUCGUGCCAACCCUUUGUUUUCUCUGAGAUUUUAGGGUUUCAAUUUCUUUUUUCUUCUUGUCUCCAACUUUUGCGAAUGCGAGUUCUUCUAUGGCUUCAAUGGAAUUCGGUGAUGGUCGAAAAAGAGGAAGGCCACAUGGCCUUAUGAAUGGCAGAGGCAGCUUCCAGAAAUCUAAGCAAGCAAGGUUACAAUGCUUAUGAUUUUGUCCAUGCAGCAAGGGGAUAUACAUAUCACUCAUGGUUUGGCGACGCCUUUUGUAUUUUCUUUUAAAAAGCUUUGUAUAUACAGCUCUGUGAUCCUAGACUGGUGGCAGGUUUUCACUGAGUGGGCAGGGAAGUCAAGUAUCAGGCUAAUAAAUGCCUCUAGUGUUUAUUUACUCACAUCUUAGUCUUUUCUGCAUCUGCUGUCCAUCACUUAACUGUACCCAUCUAACAGGUGAGAAUUUUGGUCCAACUCCAGGGUGGUCUCAUUUCCUUGUUUUUCCCAUACAUGUAAAAGUAAGACGCAUAGCUGAGUGUCUAUUGGAAAUAGCCUCUCUACCUCCAAGGUGGUAGGGGUUAUGUCUGCGUACACUCUACCCUGCCCAGAGCACACUCUAUGAUAUUACAUUGGGUUUUUAGUUGUUGUAUGUAAAAAGUUAGACGCAUGCUCUCCACAUAAACGUCUUUAGGUCAAAGGUCUAUGAUGCAAGACUAUGGUACCUUAUGCAACUAUGCUCAGAUAUACAUGGAAUCCAUAUCCAGGGUUUACUUUUAGGCUUUCUUAUAAAUAAAGAAGAAGAAUCCAUAUCCUGAGUUUGAUUUUCUGCCUUGUGAUUACCCUUCUGAGUUCUGGUUUUUCUAUGUUGUUUGUGAUCCAUUAGAUUUGCCAUUGUAGAUCUGUUAGUUGUUAGCCCACACCGUAUAUUGGGGUUCGACUAGCUGCCACUUGAAGUUAAACCGCUUUUGAAAAGUAGUCAGGGUGAAAGGUCCAUAAUUAUAACUCUUUUUCUUUGAAAGAGAAGGGAGGAUGUUGCUCUCACAUAUUUGCUCAAGGGCCAGCAUGUUUUAUAGUGAUUGUAAUUUAAAAAGGAUUUUAUUCUCACAAGUCAUAUAGUCUUUGAACAGCUUCUUCUUUAGGAGGUAGACUGGAUUUAGGACGCAACAAAUGUUUGAAACAACUGCUACCAAGUCAAUGGGUUGGUCGACGAAUGUGUGCUCUAAUUGUAGCUUUGCUGAAUGAAUGACCAAGGUUGGAACCAAACCGGGUAACUUUAGAGGUGAUCGUGAUGUUAAAUUCUGAAGAAUCAAUGGUUCUAUCGGUGACCUGUUCAAAAGGAGCAGGCUGCUUUGACUUUGAUCAGCCAACGAGUGCCGGGGUGCUGUGCUCUUGUUCAUUUGUUGGUGAUAUUUGUACAUGUGAUUUAACUGUUGUAAUAGCAGGGUUUCUACUUUGUCAAGUUGUAUAGUUCAAUAAGCUCUUAAUGUAGCAUUGUCGAACGUGAAUCUAAAUGUGAGAACUAAUAAUUUAGCUCUUUCCAAUAAGGGCUUUUUACAGGACAAAUGCCAAAUGCAAAGAAUGCAAAAAAUGCGGCUUAGCCAGUUUGCUCAA